CACACGCGAGAGGGAGGAGCAGCCGGCGGCUCCGGCACGACCGACAGGCUGAUUACGGUGUCGGGGAUUUGAGGUAAUUUACCCGUCAGCCGUCAGCGUCUUCCUGCCACGUCGGUGCCGUCUGCUGCGGAACGAUGCUCCGAAGAGAAAAAGACUUCAAAUUGAAAUGUGCCACGCUCCUUCGAAAAGUCAUUUCAUCUCCUUCAGAGCCGUUCAAAGUCGGACUCUUCUUCUUCACACAGAGUGAGACCUCGCCGGGAAUAUCAUGCUUUAUCUGACAAGAGGAAAUUUGAAGCACUUGAAGUCCGGACAAUUUCCUGAACUUCUUUUCUCGGGAAACGGAAAAGCCGUCGGUGCACCGUCACGUACGACUGAGACACGCAGCACAUCCUCACUCCUGGAGACUCGGCCAUGUCCGGGUGUCGUUCAAGCUCCAUAAUGAAACCAAAACCGGGCUGAGUGAAACUGACAAACGGCCUCCACCAUGUUGACAGUGUUGACGCCCCGAUGCGACACGGAGCGACGGCGCCGCACGCCGCGGAGGCGUGACACCAGGCCUCGCCGGACCUGCGGAGCUGCUCCUCAGCCCACGUCCGCCUUGUUCCAGUCACACCCUGUGCUCGGGUUCCCCCCGGUGCCGGAGGACCCGCGGG